GAUACCUUUUAAAGUUGAAGUCUUAAGUUUAUACUUGAGAGAUUUAUGUAGACUUUAAGAGGUAUC
rnacentral:sRNA from 25 species